GCGGAAGGAUCAUUAACGCGCAGGCCGGAGGCUGGCCCCCCACGAUAGGGCCGACGUUCCAUCAGGGGUGAGCAGACGUGCGCCGGCCGUACGCCCCCAUUCUUGUCUACCUCACCCGGUUGCCUCGGCGGGCCGCGCUCCCCCUGCCAGGGAGAGCCGUCCGGCGGGCCCCUUCUGGGAGCCUCGAGCCGGACCGCGCCCGCCGGAGGACAGACACCAAGAAAAAAUUCUCUGAAGAGCUGUCAGUCUGAGCGUUUAGCAAGCACAAUCAGUUAAAACUUUCAACAACGGAUCUCUUGGUUCCGGCA
rnacentral:misc_RNA from 1 species